CUCUAAGAUAGGAAUUUAGGUACCUAGUGUUUUACUCAAGUCAAACAUUCUAAAUUAUUGAGAAAUUAGGCCCAUCUUUAAAAGGAGUGAAAACGAUUUUGGACACUUUCGAAAAUAAUUACAUGUUUUAAAUAAACUUAAAAAGAACAUAUUUUAUGUGUUGUAGAGCCAACUGUUCUACAUUAUAAAUAAACGAAUUUAUUCUUCAUAUUUUCAAAAAUGGUCAGUGAAAUCGUUGAGAGUACAAAACUACCUAGCAGAAUUACAAAGCCGCCUUCGAGGGUACCAAAUAAGCCCCCAAAAAGCAACUAGCUCUGCGUCGACGGAAUAAAAUCGCUGGAAGAGGCGAAAAUGAGCGUCGAGCUUCAAAAUGACAGGACACAGAGGCGGAGCAAAAGGGGAAUA